GACAAAUGCAGGGGACAGGUCACAAUGAUUUGGCAGAGCCUUUCCUUUGCUGUAUGUGUGCUGACUUUUUGGACUAUUGGACACGCUACAGGCUGUGGUGAUCGACAGAUCCGGAUAAAUGGACGGUGCUGCAAUCUGUGCCCCCCAGGUACUUAUAUGGCAGAGUUCUGCUCUGACAAAGAGCAAACUGUCUGCAUUUCUUGUCAAGAGGGACAUUUUUCAGAUCACUACUCUGUUUUUGACAGAUGUGAGCCAUGCCAGUCUUGCCAACAAGAAUAUUCUGAGAAAUGUACUCCGACCACAAAUGCGACCUGUUCUUGUCGCUCUGGUUUCCUGUGUUCCAACAGCAUCUGCUCAAUUUGUGAGGAAAACAAAUGUGUCACGGGUGAGAAACCGAAGAGGACAGAAAUUUCAUCAGGUGCAGGGGUGACAAAGUAUUCAUAUCACUGUGAGCCUUUAUGCCCUGAGAAUGCAUACUUUGAUGCAGGACGGAAUAGCUGCCAGUCAAUAAUACCGUGCAGUAUGUUGGAACGUGCCGAACGGUUUCCAGGGAACAAAACACACCCACCGGUUUGUGAUAAACCUGAUGUGCACAGAGACUCGUCCACUCAUGUGAUUCUUGGCAUCGGCUUUGUUUCACUCUCUGUCAGCCUCCUUCUGGUUCUGUCUUAUACCUGCAUGAAGAACCAAAGGCAGCACGCAAUAAAUAAAAGCCCUGUCCUAGCAGCCUCUACAAACAACAAUGAGUUUCAUCUGUCAAAGGAGGAAAGUGGACACCAGCUCAUCAGCCAGACAGAAUCCAAAGACAGCAACAGUUUGGACCAAGUGCACCUGGAAAAAGUCAUCUCUUUGUGACAAUAAGUCUAAGAUACCAUGAAACAUUUCGUGCUGUGAAAACUGACACAUUGGACUGCUGGUUUAGCAUCGUCCCCUCAUAGCUAGAAGACCCCCUGUUCACGUCCUGGCCUGGGAUCUUUCUGUGUGGAGUUUUCAUGUUCUCCCUGUGCAGCGUGGGGUUUCACUGGGUUCUCCCCGAGUCCAAACACAUGCUGAGGUUUACUGGUGAUUCUAAAUUGUCCGUAGGUGUGAAUGCAAGUGUGCUUGGUUGCCUGUCUCUCUGUUUGUAGCCCUGUGAUAGACUGGCAACCUGUCCAGAGUGAACCCGCCCACGAGGAUUAAGUGGUCUACAGAUGAUGGAUGGAUGGAUGUACAUCAAAAAAAUUUGGCUAAAUGUUGUAAGGAAAGAUGAUUUUGGUGUAUUAAAAACAACAUAGCUGAUGUUGUAAUUGUGGAUUUUGCAAUAUUUACAAAAAUGUAACAGAUAUAGUCCUCUUAUUAAAUGCUAUGAACCUGUUGUAUUAAAAGGUGAGUUGUUUUAUAUCGAUUAAAAUGUGAUAAUGUCUUUGUUUAA
ensembl:lncRNA